UACGUAGGCGGAAAAUUAAGUCAGUAGUGAAAUCCUGCAGCUUAACUGUAGAACUGUUAUUGAUACUGGUUUUCUUGAAUAUAGUUGAGGUAGGCGGAAUGUGUAAUGUAGCGGUGAAAUGCUUAGAUAUUACACAGAACACCGAUUGCGAAGGCAGCUUACUAAGCUACGAUUGACGCUGAGGUACGAAAGCGUGGGGAGCGAACAGGAUUAGAUACCCUGGUAGUCC
rnacentral:rRNA from 1 species